rnacentral:rRNA from 1 species
AACGAACGCUGGCGGCAGGCUUAACACAUGCAAGUCGAACGCCCCGCAAGGGGAGUGGCAGACGGGUGAGUAACGCGUGGGAACAUACCCAACUCUACGGAAUAACUCAGGGAAACUUGUGCUAAUACCGUAUACGCCCUUUGGGGGAAAGAUUUAUCGGAGUUGGAUUGGCCCGCGUUGGAUUAGCUAGUUGGUGGGGUAAAGGCCUACCAAGGCGACGAUCCAUAGCUGGUCUGAGAGGAUGAUCAGCCACAUUGGGACUGAGACACGGCCCAAACUCCUACGGGAGGCAGCAGUGGGGAAUAUUGGACAAGGGGCGCAAGCCUGAUCCAGCCAUGCCGCGUGUGUGAUGAAGGCCUUAGGGUUGUAAAGCACUUUCACCGGAGAAGAUAAUGACGGUAUCCGGAGAAGAAGCCCCGGCUAACUUCGUG